CCUACGGGUGGCAGCAGUGGGGAAUAUUGGGCAAUGGAGGAAACUCUGACCCAGCAACGCCGCGUGAAUGAUGAAGGUCUUCGGAUUGUAAAGUUCUUUUCUACAGGAAGAAAAAAGUGCCGGUACCUUAGGAAUAAGCCUCGCCUAACUACGUGCCAGCGGCCGCGUUAAUACGUAGGAGGCGGGCGUUAUCCGGAAUGACUGGGCGUAAAGGGUGCGUAGGUGGAAUGCCAAGUCAGCGGUAAAAUCGCGGGGCUCAACCUCGCUCCGCCGUUGAAACUGGCGUUCUUGAGUGGGCGAGAAGUAUGCGGAAUGCGUGGUGUAGCGGUGAAAUGCAUAGAUAUCACGCAGAACUCCGAUUGCGAAGGCAGCAUACCGGCGCCCAACUGACGCUGAAGCACGAAAGCGUGGGUAUCGAACAGGAUUAGAUACCCCAGUAGUC
rnacentral:rRNA from 1 species